rnacentral:rRNA from 1 species
UACAGAGGGUGCGAGCGUUGUUCGGAAUUACUGGGCGUAAAGCGCGCGCAGGCGGCCUUUUAAGUCUGCUGGUGAAAUGCCGGGGCUCAACCCCGUGCCCGCCACAGAUACUGGGAGGCUGGAGACGAGUAGAGGCAAGCGGAAUUCCGGGUGUAGCGGUGGAAUGCGUAGAGAUCCGGGAAGAACACCGGGAGGCGAAGGCGGCUUGCUGGGCUCGGUCUGACGCUGAGGCGCGAAAGCGUGGGGAGCGAACAGG